rnacentral:rRNA from 1 species
UACGGGAGGCAGCAGUGGGGAAUAUUGCACAAUGGGCGCAAGCCUGAUGCAGCCAUGCCGCGUGUAUGAAGAAGGCCUUCGGGUUGUAAAGUACUUUCAGCAGUGAGGUAAGGUGGGUAUGUUAAUAGCAUAUUCAUUUGACGUUAGCUGCAGAAGAAGCACCGGCUAACUCCGUGCCAGCAGCCGCGGUAAUACGGAGGGUGCGAGCGUUAAUCGGAAUUACUGGGCGUAAAGCGCAUGCAGGUGGUUUGUUAAGUCAGAUGUGAAAGCCCGGGGCUCAACCUCGGAAUUGCAUUUGAAACUGGCAAACUAGAGUACUGUAGAGGGGGUAGAAUUUCAGGUGUAGCGGUGAAAUGCGUAGAGAUCUGAAGGAAUACCGGUGGCGAAGGCGGCCCCCUGGACAGAUACUGACACUCAGAUGCGAAAGCGUGGGGAGCAAACAGGAUUAGAUACCCUGGUAG